AGAGGGUUUGGGAGAAUCGAGGAGAGACUUCAUCUAGAAUUGAGGUGAGUUCUUGAAUGUUUUUCAGAUCCGAGACUAACCUUUAUGAAUCGAGACCUAAUGUUUGAAUACGUUCAUCUAGGGAAGCUGACUUCGUGAAGACACUUAGCAGAAAUCCGAGAAUCGUCUGAGAUGGGACCUAAUCAACGAUAAUCAAUGUUUUUUGACACCUUACGAGCACAAAGACGCUAGCGAAAGGGCACGCGUCAAUCAAGUACGCGAGGCGUUGGGUCGAGGUGGGGCGUGAUCAGAGAGGCGAAUUGUCACAGAGGAAUGCAUGUCCUGGGGCGUCAGUUCAGUCUUUUCUUUUUAUAUUUUCACCUUUUUGUUUUUUGGAACUUUCAUUUGUUUGAAUCUUUGUAUUGAAACUUUCGGUUAUAGGAAUAAAUGAUUUCGCCUUUACACC